AAUAGAUACCCAGGUAGUCCACGCCGUAAACGAUGAAUGCUAGGUGUUAGGGGUUUCGAUACCCUUGGUGCCGAAGUUAACACAUUAAGCAUUCCGCCUGGGGAGUACGGUCGCAAGACUGAAACUCAAAGGAAUUGACGGGGACCCGCACAAGCAGUGGAGUAUGUGGUUUAAUUCGAAGCAACGCGAAGAACCUUACCAGGUCUUGACAUCCCUCUGAAUCCUCUAGAGAUAGAGGCGGCCUUCGGGACAGAGGAGACAGGUGGUGCAUGGUUGUCGUCAGCUCGUGUCGUGAGAUGUUGGGUUAAGUCCCGCAACGAGCGCAACCCUUGAUUUUAGUUGCCAGCACUUUAAGGUGGGCACUCUAGAAUGACUGCCGGUGACAAACCGGAGGAAGGCGGGGAUGACGUCAAAUCAUCAUGCCCCUUAUGACCUGGGCUACACACGUACUACAAUGGCCAGUACAACGGGAAGCGAAGUCGCGAGAUGGAGCCAAUCCUAUCAAAGCUGGUCUCAGUUCGGAUUGCAGG
rnacentral:rRNA from 1 species